rnacentral:rRNA from 1 species
AUUGAACGCUAGCGGGAUGCUUUACACAUGCAAGUCGAACGAGUGGCGGACGGGUGAGUAAUAUAUCGGCACGUGCCCAUUAGCGGGGGAUAAAUCGUUGAACGAGUGGCUAAUCCCGCAUACUCUUGGUGCGGACGAGAUCGGUUUAGAUGGUUGGUGGGGUAAAGGCUCACCAAGCAAACGAUACGUAGCUGGUUUGAGAGGAGGACCAGCCACACGGGGACUGAGACACGGCCCAGACUCCUACGGGAGGAAGCAGUGGGGAAUUUUGGACAAUGGGGGAAACCCUGAGGCAGCCAUCCCGCGUGUAUGAGAAGGCCUUCGGGUUGUAAAGUACUUUUGGCAGAGAAGCGGUAUCUGCAGAAUAAGCACCGGCUAACUACGUGCCAGCCGCCGCGGUAAUAC